GAUGAACGCUGGCGGCGUGCCUAAUACAUGCAAGUCGAGCGAACAGAUGAGGAGCUUGCUCCUCUGACGUUAGCGGCGGACGGGUGAGUAACACGUGGAUAACCUACCUAUAAGACUGGGAUAACUUCGGGAAACCGGAGCUAAUACCGGAUAAUAUAUUGAACCGCAUGGUUCAAUAGUGAAAGACGGUUUUGCUGUCACUUAUAGAUGGAUCCGCGCCGCAUUAGCUAGUUGGUAAGGUAACGGCUUACCAAGGCAACGAUGCGUAGCCGACCUGAGAGGGUGAUCGGCCACACUGGAAGGGAGACACGGUCCAGACGCCUACGGGAGGCAGCAGUAGGGAAUCGUCCGCAAUGGGCGAAAGCCUGACGGAGCAACGCCGCGUGAGUGAUGAAGGUCUUCGGAUCGUAAAACUCUGUUAUUAGGGAAGAACAAAUGUGUAAGUAACUAUGCACGUCUUGACGGUACCUAAUCAGAAAGCCACGGCUAACUACGUG
rnacentral:rRNA from 1 species